CGACAAGCGGUGGAUGAUGUGGAUUAAUUCGAUGCAACGCGAAAACUUACCUACCCUUGACAUGUCUGGAACCUUGCUGAGAGGCGAGGGUGCCUUCGGGAGCCAGAACACAGGUGCUGCAUGGCUGUCGUCAGCUCGUGUCGUGAGAUGUUGGGUUAAGUCCCGCAACGAGCGCAACCCUUGUCAUUAGUUGCCAUCAUUUAGUUGGGCACUCUAAUGAGACUGCCGGUGACAACCGGAGGAAGUGGGGAUGACGUCAAGUCCUCAUGGCCCUUAUGGGUAGGGCUUCACACGUCAUACAAUGGUCGGUACAGAGGGUUGCCAAGCCGCGAGGUGGAGCCAAUCCCUAAAGCCGGCCUCAGUUCAGAUUGUAGGCUGCAACUCGCCUGCAUGAAGAUGGAGUUGCUAGUAACCGCAGGUCAGCAAUACUGCGGUGAAUACGUUCCCGGGUCUU
rnacentral:rRNA from 1 species